rnacentral:rRNA from 1 species
UGGGGAAUCAUGGUCAAUGGGCGAAAGCCUGAACCUGCGACGCCGCGUGAGUGAUGAAGGUCGUAAGAUCGUAAAACUCUUUUCAGGGAUCUUAAAGCCUGUCUGUCAACAACAGGCAGGUCUGACUCUCCCUGGAAGAAGCCCCAGCCAACUACGUGCCAGCAGCUGCGGUAAUACGUAGUGGGCGAGCGUUAUUCGGAAUUACUGGGUGUAAAGGGUAUGUAGGCGGCCCUUCAAGUCGCGUGUCAAAGUCCAGUGCUCAACGCUGGGUGUGCGCGCGAUACUGACGGGCCUGAGGGGUGGAGAGGUGAGCGGAAUUCCCGGUGUAGUGGUAAAAUACGUAGAGAUCGGGAGGAACACCAGCGGCGCAGGCGGCUCACUAGACAGUUUCUGACGCUAAGAUACGAAAGCGUGGGGAGCAAACA